GAGUUUGAUCAUGGCUCAGGAUGAACGCUGGCGGCGUGCUUAACACAUGCAAGUCGAAUGUAGUUUACUACAUGGCGGACGGGUGAGUAACGCGUGAGCAAUCUGCCCAUAUCUGGGGGAUAACAGUUGGAAACGACUGAUAAUACCGCAUAAUAUUGUUUGAAGGCAUCUUCUUACAAUCAAAGAUUUAUCGGAUAUGGAUGAGCUCGCGUCUGAUUAGCUAGUUGGUGAGGUAACGGCCCACCAAGGCGACGAUCAGUAGCCGACCUGAGAGGGUGAUCGGCCACAUUGGAACUGAGACACGGUCCAAACUCCUACGGGAGCAGCAGUGGGAAUAUUGGGCAAUGGGAGGAAACUCUGACCCAGCAACGCCGCGUGAAUGAUGAAGGUC
rnacentral:rRNA from 1 species